AUACCUCUUCUCUCUCCUCCUU
rnacentral:sRNA from 1 species